rnacentral:lncRNA from 1 species
CAUCCACCUGGGUGUCCCAUAGGCAAUUGGACUUGUAUAUUUGGGUCUAAGCUCAUCAUACAUUGCUGUAGUCUUCAAUUAGCAUCACCAUUCACUUAGGCUCCCAAGCAAGGAACAAGCAUCAUACUCGAUUCUGUCCUUAUCUUCCCUUCUUAUUCUCAAACAGAUGUUGGAGAGGAUGUGGAGAAGUAGGAAGGCUUUUACACUGUUGGUGGGAGUGUAAAUUAGUUCAACUAUUUGUGGAAGACAGUGUGGAGAUUCCUCAAGGAUCUAGAACUAGAAAUACCAUUUGACCCAGCAUUAUUGAUGGGACGUAUCUCAAAAUAAUAAAAGCUAUUUACAACAAACCCACAGCCAAUAUCAUACUGAAUGGGCAAAAACUGGAAGCAUUCCUUUUGAAAACUGGCACAAGACACGGAUGCCCUCUCUCACCACUCCUAUUCAACAUAGUAUUGGAAGUUCUGGCCAGGGCAAUCAGGGAGAAGAAAGAAAUAAAGGGUAUUCAAUUAGGAAAAGAGGAGUUCAAAUGGUCCCUGUUUGCAGAUGACAUGAUUGUAUAUUUAGAAAACCCCAUCGUCUCAGCCCAAAAUCUUCUUAAGCUCAUAAGCAACUUCUGCAAAGUCUCACUGCUCAACGAAAUAAGAGAGGACACGAACAAAUGGAAGAACAUUCCAUGCUCAUGGAUAGGAAGAAUCAAUAUUGUGAAAAUGGCCAUACUGCCCAAGGUAAUUUAUAGAUUCAGUGCCAUCCCCAUGAAGCUACCAAUGACUUUCUUCACAGAACUGGAAAAAACUAUAUAAAGUUCACAUGGAACCAAACAAGAGCCUGCAUUGCCAAGUCAAUCCUAAGCCAAAAGAACAAAGCUGGAG